GUUUCUACACAUGCAAGACUUCUAAACCAGCGAGAUUUGGAAGUGGUAAGAAAGAGACUGAAUCUCCCAAAUAAAAUCCGCUGUCUUUUUCUAAGUCAGUUUGAUACAGAACAUUCAUUCCGCCAGGAACUUAGUAAGUUCUUCAGAGAAUCGACAGAAGAGAAACUGCUCUUUGUCCAGUUCAACUUUGACGAGCCGCAGAGCAGCAAAAGGCUUCUUGCCUGUGCAAAGUACUGCAUAGUGGAUGAGAGAAGAAAACCAGGAACGACCGGUCCAUCACACGUUGUCAUCAUAACCAAAGUCCCAAGGAUACUCGGGGGGUG